GAUGUUCCUCAUUUCAAGAAAAGAAUCAGUGUCCUUCGUGUCCAACUUGUGCCUCAUGCAAUCCAUGUCCGGUGCCAUCAUCUCUAUCAUGUGAUAACUGCCAUGUAAUAGGCGAAAAAACUGUACUUCUUAAGAGACGAGGACAUCUUAACUCUACGCAGGUACAUUAUGUAAGAAAAAGAAAUCCACCACCACCUAAAGUAUAUCCUCUUGGAUGCCCAACGACGAAGUGUUUACCUUGCAGGAAACAGCCAUGUCCGAUUUGUCGACCCUGUCCACCCUGUCCACUUCCACCACCUAUACUUCCAUGUAAGGAAUGCUCUCCAAAGAAAAAAUGUAAGUCCAAAAAAUGCAAGUGUCCUUGCGCCCCUGGAGCUCCAGCACCACUUCGAUUCUAAUUUAAACGUUGGUCAAGAAAAUUUAUUUA